rnacentral:rRNA from 1 species
UAAGCCAUGCGAGUUAAAUGUUCUUCGUGAACAUAGCAGACUGCUCAGUAACACGUGGAUAACCUGCCCUUAGGACUGGCAUAACCCCGGGAAACUGGGGAUAAUGCCGGAUAGAUCAUAAAUGCUGGAAUGCUUUAUGAUUGAAAGGUUUCGACCGCCUUAGGAUGGAUCUGCGGCCUAUCAGGUUGUAGUGGGUGUAAUGUACCUACUAGCCUACGACGGGUACGGGUUGUGGAAGCAAGAGCCCGGAGAUGGAUUCUGAGACAUGAAUCCAGGCCCUACGGGGCGCAGCAGGCGCGAAAACUUUACAAUGCGGGAAACCGUGAUAAGGGAACACUGAGUGCUAGCAUUUAUGUUAGCUGUCCACAUGUGUAAAUAGCAUGUGAUAGCAAGGGCUGGGCAAGACCGGUGCCAGCCGCCGCGGUAACACCGGCAGCCCGAGUGGUGAUCACUAUUAUUGGGUCUAUAGGGUCCGUAGCCGGUUUAAUCAGUCUUCUGGGAAAUCUAAUCGCUUAACUAUUAGGCUUCCAGGGGAUACUGUUAGACUUGGGACCGGGAGAGGUAAGAGGUACUGCAGGGGUAGGAGUGAAAUCUUGUAAUCCCUGUGAGAC